AUUGAACGCUGGCUGCAGGCCUAACACAUGCAAGUCGAGCGGAGAGGCGGACGGGUGAGUCAUGUCUGGGAAACUGCCUGAUGGAGGGGGAUAACUACUGGAAACGGGUGCUAAUACCGCAUACUAUCAGAUGAGCCUAGGUCGGAUUAGCUAGUUGGUGGGGUAAAGGCCUACCAAGGCGACGAUCCGUAACUGGUCUGAGAGGAUGAUCAGUCACACUGGAACUGAGACACGGUCCAGACUCCUACGGAAGGCAGCAGUGGGGAAUAUUGGACAAUGGGCGAAAGCCUGAUCCAGGCAUGACGCGUGUGUGAAGAAGGUCUUCGGAGUGUAAAGCACUUUAAGGUGGUAGGCGUUACCAUCAGAAUAAGCACCGGCUAACUCCGUGCCAGCCGCCGCGGUAGUAA
rnacentral:rRNA from 1 species